GCGUUUGAGCGCUCGCGCGCGGCGACCCGUUUGUCACCUUUUUUUUUUUUUUUAAUGUAACCUGGUUUAUUGGGCUCUCGGUGUAUUCUUGCGUUCCUUCUGCACUGGGACAAGACACCACUGCACUAUUGGACUACGGCAAGCUGAUGCCGUCCGGUGGAGCUUCAUACGGGAACUACUGCUUAGCUGGGGUCACAACGUUGGAUGAACGCACAAAAAGCGCGGAACGAGCAUUUAUAUAGAGCAAAAUAAAUGUUUCCUCAUUGCACAA